AAUGUUUUUUAAAAAAAUCCUUGCUGUUUUUAAGCGGUUGAAUUAGUGUGCGUGUUUGUUGGUAGCUGGGUGGGUACACAGUUGCGGUCGGAAGUUUACAUACCCCUUGCAGAAUCUACAAAAUAUUAAUACUCUUAACAAAAUAAGAUUGAUCCUGUGUGAUCGUUGGGAACUCCAUUGUGCGAAACGUCCACGUCGCUUCAACAAGGGGUAAGGUGCACACACAGUUUUUCUUUUGUUUGUGUCCUUGAUGUCGCUGAGCAGCUAACAGGAAUCCUGAAGAAGGACUAGCGCAUUGGAGCGGUCGUGCUGCACGUGGGGGCAAACAUCAGGCUGUGGCAGGCGGAGGUUCUGAAGAGGGACUUCUCCAGCCUGAUCGAGACGGUACGAGGCAGAUCACCCAUCGCGAAGAUCAUCGUCUCUGGACCUCUUCCCUCAUACAGAGGUGGAGCUGAAAGGCUCAGUAGACUUCUUGCUUUGAAUGACUGGUUAGUUUCUUGGUGUAAUGAACAGAAUCUGCUGUUUGUUAAUAACUGGAAUCUGUUCUGGGAUCGGAACUGCUGUCAGACAACAUUUCCAAGACGCUACAGACCAAGUGACUGUCUACCGUAAGCACAUUUUCCUACAAUAACAAAGUUCAUCAUAAGCAAUGUUCAGUUAAUAGUCCAACACCUGUAGUACAUUCUAUAGAGACUGUGUCUGUUCCCCGAGCUAUACAAUUACAUAGACAAUUUCAGAAUGUUUGUUUUAGUAACCUAAUUAACCUAAAAUUAGAUCAUACAUCCAGCACCUUUAAUCUGAAGCUAGGACUAUUGAGCAUUAGAUCUCUUGCGUCUAAGGCUCUUAUUGUUAACGACAUCAUUACUGAUCAGGAAUGUAAUUUAAUGUGUUUAACGGAAACUUUGAUUAAACCAAACGAGUACAUGGCAUUAAAUGAAGCCAGUGCUCCUGGAUACAGUUAUGUACAUCAGCCUCGUUCAGCUGGUAGAGGAGGAGGUGUUGGACUCAUCCAUAGUCAAAAUCUAGCCGUCACACAAAAACCUAGUAAUAAAUUUAAUUCUUUUGAAAUUCUUUAUACCAGCAUAACUUAUGUAGCCACUAAAAAUAAGUAAAUUCCUCUAAUUAUUUACAGGCCCCCAGGGCCAUAUGCUGAAUUUCUUAGUGAAUGUGUCUGUAGUUGUGUCUGUAGAUAAAGCAUUAAUCGUCUGUGAUUUUAAUAUUCACUUUGAUAUCCAGAAGACCCUCUGAGAACAGCGGUUGUGUCCAUCUUAGAUUCAGUAGGGAUUAAUCAGAACGUAAUCGGGCCUACUUAUAAUGGUGGUCACACUCUUGACCUCAUACUAACAUACGGAUUAAAUAUAGAAAAUAUUAUAAUUUUUCCGCAGUCUAAAGUUGUCUCAGACCAUUAUCUUAUCUCUUUCAUAAUACGAAUUGAUCAUAAUAUUUCCACCUCGCCUUGCUACCGCAUAAAGCGUGCUUUCACAUCAGCUACUGCACCGAGCUUCAUAAAUAACCUCCCAGAGACAUCAAUUAUAUUUGGAUCACCGUCUGAUCCGAUAGAACUCGAUUAGGUGACUGAAAGCUUACAGUCAACACUCCGCUACAUGCUAGAUAGAGUGGCUCCACUCAAAAGAAAAAUAAUUAGAGAGAAAAAGCUAGCACCCUGGUAUAACGAUCAAACGCGAACCUUAAAACAGACAAAUCGACAAUUAGAACAUUGGCGUCAAACCAAACUGGUGAUAUUUCAAACAGCAUGGAAGGAGAACCUACUGAAAUAUAGGAAAUCUCUUAGCGAUGCUAGAAAAGUCUCUCCACCUUAAUAGGAGACAACAAAAACAAUUCUAGAUUUCUAUUCAACACAGUAGCAAAAUUUACUAGGAAUGAAACCACCACAGAGAGAAACACUCAAUCACAAUCAUUACAUAGCGGUGAAGAUUUCAUGGAACUUUUUAUUGGUAAAGUUGAAAAUAUUAGAUGUGAAAUUCAGGCUAUUAAAUUAAAACCAGACAGUAUUAUAACUAACCCUGUAGACGAUGAUAUAGCAAUAUCGGAUUAAUGUUUAGAAUGUUUUACUCCCCUUAGAGAGACCGAACUAGCUUCAUUAAUCUCUUCAGCAAAUUCAUCAACUUGCAUACUAGAUCCCGUACCUACAUGUCUAUUUAAACAGAUUUGUCCUGGAGUAAUUGAACCAUUUUUAAAUAUAAUCAACUCUUCCCUUAGCACUUGCUAUGUACCUAAAUCAUUUAAAUUAGCAGUUAUUAAACCCCUGAUUAAAAAACCUGACCUUGACCCCUCUCAACUGUCCAGCUAUAGACCAAUAUCUAAUCUCCCCUUCAUCUCCAAGAUCUUAGAAAAAGUUGUACACAGCAGUUAUGCUCGUACUUACAUAGGAAUAACAUUCAUGAAAUGUAUCAGUCAGGACGUAGACCUCAUCAUAGCACAGAGACAGCGUUAGUUAAAGUAGUAAAUGACCUUCUACUGACCUCUGAUCAGGGUUUGUCUUGUUGCUUGUGUUACUUGACCUUAGUGCAGCUUUUGAUACUAUAGAUCACACUAUUCUCCUUGAUAGAUUAGAAAAUGUUGGCAUUAAGGGAACAGUCCUCUCCUGCCUCAGGUCUUAUUAGACCGAUCGUUAUCAGUUCAGUUUGUAGAUGUAAAUGGAGACUUCUCCAUGAAUACUGAGGUUAAAUUUGGUGUUCCACAAGGUUCUGUUUGAGGCCCACUGCUUUUUAUUUUGUAUAUGCUACCUCUAGGUCAAAUUAUUCAUAAACAUGGAAUGAAUUUCCACUGUUAUGCUGAUGAUACAGAGCUGUAUGUUUGCAACUGAACAAUAACAACAAUAAACAACAACUGAAGAAUAGCGAAAAACUUCUGUUUUGUAAGUCAACUGUUUUGUAAGUCAAACUUUUUAAUGUUCACCUGGAAUUUGACUCCUAUGUGACUAAAUGAUGGAAUUGUAUCUUAUGUUGGACCAUGUAUUCCAGAGAUUUUUUAUUUGAAUUUCUUGUAGCGUGCUUACUUGAAGACAAUGAGGCAGAGCAGCAUCGGAGAGACAGUUCGCUCCAUUCUCCAAAGAAUCGGGGAGAACAGUCUGUAAUGUAUGUUUUUGUUGAAAGUGUCAAAAGGUGGGAAGCUGGCUUUGACUUAUCAGGAUGAAGUGUAUCGCCUUGUACACUAUAUUGCCGAACAAGCACAUGGACGUGAAUAUACUGUUGCCGGUUGCAGAGAGGCCAUCGGCAGCUACCUAAAAAAUGCCCCAGGCAGGAAAAGUGGCAAGAAACAUAUUAUGAGUGUUUAUGAUGAAGCAGAGCUACGUGGGAUCUCCAGUGCGUCCUGCAAGAAUUGGGCCUGAGUCCAGUUCAGAUUCAAUUUUGUAAUAUCAUUCCUCUCCCUUGCGUGACAGCCUCCAAACAGUACAAUUCUAAUGAGCUUGAAUAUACGGGGAAUUCCAUUGGGUUUGAUGUCUGACUAAUUAAAGACCCACCUCUUCUAUGAACACCUAACCAACUCAUAAAAAAAAAAAAAAAAUUAAAAAAAAAAAUGCACUUACACCUCUAGUCUGCACGUUGCUUCUUCUAGAAUUCAAUGAAUAGAUCUUGUAUGGUAGCUGCUCUUGUAUUGUUCUCUGCUUGAUAUAUCGCUUUGCUUGUAUCUUUCUUAUUUGUAAGUCGCUUUGGAUAAAAGCGUCUGCUAAGUGAAUGUAAUGUAAAUGUAAUAAAUUGUUUUCUUUGAUUAGCAAUACAUAGGUACAAUAUCUGGCUGUUUUGUGUGUUACAAUAUUGAAUGUCAUUUUUCAGCUAUUCACUUUGUCUGCAUUUACUAAAAUUCAUGCAUGUUUAUUAAAAAUAUUCACGGAGUUUGUUAAACUAUAUAAUUGUUGUCUAUCAUUCAUAAGAUUCGUCAUGGGAAUUCCAUAGACCAGAAUCUAACAUCCACAUUAUUGAAGCAUUGUUUAAUUACGGAUUUUUUUAAGCAUGCGGUAUGUUAUAUGCUUUAAUUGUAUCUUGCCACAUAAUGUUGGAAAAUGAGUACUUGUGUACUUUUCAAGAAAUUAGAUACAAAAAGGAUUACACAUAUCUGAUUAGAAAAAAUAGCAUCGUAAUGUGUGUAACUUUGUGUAUAAAUAUUUGUGUAGUGUAUUUACACCACAUUAUGAGGUGUGUGUAUAUACAGGCAAUUACAAAAUACUAUGUGCAUGUUGAGUUUUUCUGGAAUUCCAUAUCCCAGUUUUACUGUUUUAUAAAGCACUGAAUGGUUUGGGUCCAAUAUAUAUUUCUGAUGUACUGGUACAUUAUGAA